rnacentral:tRNA from 1 species
GCUUGGGUGGCUCAGUCGGUUGAGCGUCUGACUUCGGCUCAGGUCAUGAUCUCACCGCUAGUGGGUUCGAGCCCCACAUCGGGCU